GAUGAACGCUAGCUACAGGCUUAACACAUGCAAGUCGAGGGACCGGCGCACGGGUGAGUAACACGUAUCCAGCCUGCCCUUUACUCGGGGAUAGCCUUUCGAAAGGAAGAUUAAUACCCGAUGUAAAGGAUGGGGAUGCGUUCCAUUAGGUUUUGGGUGAGGUAAAGGCUCACAAAGCCUUCGAUGGAUAGGGGUUAGGAGAGGAAGGUCACCCACAUUGGAACUGGGACACGGUCCAAACGCGUACGGGCGGCAGCAGUGAGUAAUAUUGGUCAAUGGGCGGUAGCCUGAAACAGCCAAGUAGUGUGAAGGAUGAAGGCUUAUGGGGCGUAAACGUCUGAUAUAUAAGAAUCUGUAUUAUAUGAAUAAGGAUCGGCUAACUCCGUGUCAGCAGCCGCGGUAAUUC
rnacentral:rRNA from 1 species